rnacentral:rRNA from 1 species
ACUCCUACGGGAGGCAGCAGUGGGGAAUAUUGCACAAUGGGCGCAAGCCUGAUGCAGCCAUGCCGCGUGUGUGAAGAAGGCCUUCGGGUUGUAAAGCACUUUCAGUCGUGAGGAAGGUGGUAGUGUUAAUAGCACUAUCAUUUGACGUUAGCGACAGAAGAAGCACCGGCUAACUCCGUGCCAGCAGCCGCGGUAAUACGGAGGGUGCGAGCGUUAAUCGGAAUUACUGGGCGUAAAGCGCAUGCAGGUGGUUGUUAAGUCAGAUGUGAAAGCCCGGGGCUCAACCUCGGAAUAGCAUUUGAAACUGGCAGACUAGAGUACUGUAGAGGGGGUAGAAUUUCAGGUGUAGCGGUGAAAUGCGUAGAGAUCUGAAGGAUACCGGUGGCGAAGGCGGCCCCUGGACAGAUACUGACACUCAGAUGCGAAAGCGUGGGAGC